rnacentral:lncRNA from 1 species
CUUGUUUUUAUUAUUUUCAAGUUUACAGUUCAUGUUUUUCGCUAUUUUUUUUUUUUUUUUUUUUUAUCGAGGUCGCCUGUUUCCGUGUUCCGCUCGAAAUAUAAAUAAGUGCAUUUAUCUGCAUUUCUCGAUAAUGCAAAAAGGCCCCGUUAAAAAUUUAUCGGUCGGGUGAUGUUAGGAGUGUGUACGCAUUAUCGUGAGGAUCCUGAUGCGAUUCCCGAAAAAGGCUCCAACCUCUACAUGAUCGAUCGGCAAAGUCAGGUUUUUCGAUAUCUAUUAUAAGCAGAUUAGAUACGUUGCCGUACGACUGCUCGUUCAGAGGUUUUUUUUUCUUCUUUCUUUUUUUGCUUCAUAAAUUUUCCAGUUUUAUUAUCACACCGCUAGCUUUAUUUUACUCGGCAGCGGUAAUACGUUUUCGAUAUCGCAUUUUCUGAGUUAAAAAGUAAAAAAAAAAAAAAAAAUUGCAUCUUUCGAGUUAAAUCUAUUUUUGCUUGGCGUUAUAUGCACCAUGCCGAAGACAAAACAGGUAGAGCUGGUUAAAUUUAGGAUAUUAUAAAACACGUUUUCGAAGUGAGACUGUAAAGAAAAUUUCGUCAUUUCGAAGACAAAACGAAAAAAUAAGACAGGAAAAAGAAAAAAAAAAUUAAUAUGCAGGUCACUUCGCAUUAUGUUCAUUAACUCGACAGUUAAAGCAAUAAUUUUAUCUUCUGCGAAUAAUAAUUACUUGUAUCGUAAUUAGGUAUUUGUUUAUUUAGAGCUAUAAUUACGUAUUGCAGAUACAUUAUAUAUAAAUUGCAAAAGUAGGAAAUGCUAUUGAGGAGUUGUCAUGUUGAGAUCUCUUCCAAAUUCAACACCUGCCUCAUCUGGUGCCAGGUGAAUCGUCGAAGUGUAACGAAAAAAAGAAAAAUUUUUUUAUCAUUAGCUCUGAUUUGAAUCUACUUAAUAAUAAUAAUAAUAUUUCCACAUUCCACAGCUCCCUAUUACAAUUAUUGAAUUUUUAAAUACGUUCGAUAAUUUUUUUCGUAAGCAGAAAAUGUGUAAAAGAAUCGUGGACAUUAGCAAUGAUUAAAAACCAUCGACCCGCGAAAUUAAGGUUUAAGGAACAAUUUUUUAAAUUGUUUCUUACAAUUUGGGAUCGUUUAUUCGAAGAGGGUAAAGCAAAUUCGUCUCUUAAAUCAAGCGAGCAAAAGCGCAAUGUCUCUUUAUAACGCGCCGUUUCUUUUCGACAUUUCCAUUCUGAAUCUUUUUUCUUCUUCUUCUUCCCCGCUGCCCUCCCUGCCAAGGUGCACAUGGCAGUACGAAUCGAUCGAAGGCCAGUAAUGGAGAUAGAUGGAAGCCGGCUUCGGCUGAGUUAUGGCGACUCCUUCCUCCGUCUUUCUGUAAACAACCAUGAAUUGGAUCUGCGAUCGCACACAUUAUCGGUUGCCAGGGAUGGAAGGCAGGAUGGGAGACAGACCAGACCGGUUUAAAACGUAUAUCCCACUUCGUCCCUCCUUCGUGCAUGCGUUGCCAAGUGGUGUGCAUUGUUUCGUCUGAAUGUCGGUUCUGUAUGUUUUUGUCCUAAAUUUCGAUUUUUCUAAGCACCAACACGUCAAUAUCAGAAAUCGAAGAGAUAGCUUAUCUUCUAGGUUAAGAAAAAAAGAAAGGAAAAAAAAAGAAUGUAGCCCAUGUUUACUGAAAGAAAACUCGAUUCUCUUUGGGAGGUUGGGUUUCUCACCACACUUUCUUUUUAGUAAUAGUCUCGAGGACCCCGAGAGGAAAAUGCCGUAUUUGGUAAUCUUUCCGAUUUUCGCAUAUUCGUCUUCCGAUUAUCCGUAACUGCAGAAUAUAAAGCGUUUAUUUCCGAUGUAGUGCAUUCUGGCGAGACCAAAAAAGCCUUCAAUUUCUGGCCGACGCUGUAAUGGCCAAAAAUUGCGCUCCUUCUGACGCCAAACCUGUUUUCGUUGUACCUGUAAAACCCGUUUGUGACGAACAGGAUUUUGUCUUGUCUCGCAGCGUACAUCUCUCCAAUAGUUUUAUUUUUCGAAGAAGAAACAAAAACUAAUACGGAGCCAGUCACGUCCACUAGAAAGCUAUAGGUUCGUCACCAAACGCGGAAGUGCGUAAGAUCACUACAAUUAAAACAUAUUUUACCACUCGCCAUAUCGGAGAGCGUUCUCUCUCUUUCGCUGUAUUUUUCUCUCCCCUCUUUUUUUUUUGCUAUUUUUUUUUAUCGCAGACCCUGCCAUACUUGUUCAGCCAA